rnacentral:rRNA from 1 species
UACGGAGGGGGCAAGCGUUACUCGGAAUCACUGGGCGUAAAGGGCGCGCAGGCGGCCUAGCAAGUCUGGUGUGAAAGCCCAGGGCUCAACCCUGGAAGGGCACUGGAAACUGUUAGGCUUGAGUUCCGGAGAGGAGGGGGGAAUUCCCGGUGUAGCGGUGAAAUGCGUAGAUAUCGGGAGGAAUACCGGUGGCGAAGGCGGCCCUCUGGACGGAAACUGACGCUGAGGUGCGAAAGCGUGGGGAGCAAACCGG